CUUAGUACCUCCAUUGUUUACACGCAGCUGUUCUAGCCACUCCAAUAUUAACUUUGGUCUUGUUGCUUUGCCCGUCUCAUUAAUUCUCUUUUUCGCUUCCCAGGCGAGUGAUCUCCCCCUUGCAUUCGUCACGGUGCCACUGAGUGUAAAAGCGCAAAAUGCGGAGGAAAUUCUGGCCGUGUCGUCGCCCUCUGGUUGGAGUACGUCGCUGGCCAUGUCCAUCAGGUCAAUACCUGGACGGUGACACAGCACAGAGAAUAAAUACAACUUUACUACGAAGCUGGCGCCAUUAAAUGCAAACAGACUGAUACCUACCAGCUGUGAAGAUCUUCCCGGCUCCAGAAACCACAACCACUCGGCAUUCUGGGUCGCCAGCUAUCUCAUUGAAGCAAUCCACCAUCUCACUGGGAGAAGAAAGAAAUGAAUUUCCUGUCAGUGUUGGAUAAACUUAAAGAAAUACUUUUGUAUACAUUCCUGCCUCCAGAAAGCUCUGUUCAUGGCGUUACGUUUCUCCGGGCGGUGCAGCUCUACGUGUGUGAUGGACUCUGCUGGGUGACUGAUGGCGAGGGUGGUGUAAGGGGAGGGGGCACCGCCUGAGGACGACAUGGCCCUGACCACAGCCUGACUGGGCAGCCAGCACCUCCUGUCUGAGAGGAAAGAGACAGAACAACACAAACAGCACAACAAGUUCAUCUAAAACAACUGCAACAGGAUGAGACUAAAAUCUUUGUAGCCAAUAAACGCUUACAGGAACUUAGAUUAAGAGAUCGAUACAGAGAGCAGUGGAAGCUAAAUGGCUGCAAUGGUAAAAAUGACCUAUUUUUCUAAUUCAUUUAAAUCAGUUUUUUCAUUAAAAAAAACCCCACAAAUAUUCUGAUUCCAGCUUUUCUAAUUAUGAGAAUUUAGGGAUGGACCGUGUUUGUGUGCUUUAGUUAGAUAAAACAAGACCUUUAAAGAACGUGAUGGAGGUUCACGCCAUUUUGUGGUGUUUCUAUUGAUUUAAAACAGGUAUUUAAAUAGAUAAUAGACAGAUUAAUUAUUGAAAAUAAUCUUUAUUUCUAGCCCUGAUUCAGGGUAUUUUUCUUUCCACUGCAAUGCAAACAGAAUAGCCUAAAAACAGAAUCUAAAAAUACAUUAAAUCAACAUAAGUGAAGUACAAAGUGCCACGCAGGAGAAAUAGGAGCAGAAGAGAUAGGAACUAUUUGGAAGGUCAAAUGUGUGGCAAAGUGGAGUUCAGUUUGUUUCUGUCUAUGUUGCAGAUACAAAACACCUCUUUAAGGAACUUACUAUCCUGGUCUGUGGAUAAUACAUAGAUGUAAUCUGUGACGUAAUGCAGGUAGCAUUAUUACCUAAAUAAGAUCUGCAAUGUUACACUGCUAUAGACUCAUAAAUGUGUAGUGCACAGCUAUUUGCACAAUGCACAAACAAUAUGGCCUAGAAUAUGUAAUGCAAACAAAUACAGCUUUUUAAUUCAAUUAUUUAAUUUCAUAUUUAGUAGUUGUAUAUCGUAUUUAUCAAUAUUUUCUGACAUUAGACUUGACUAAUCAAAAAAAUAAUCAGCACGUAAA